GAAGAAUCUCUGAGAAGAGGAAGAGAGGAGUAGAAAAAGGUCUGCCUCCUGGUCAUGUCUGUGUCUGUCUGUGCGGAGGGGAGGAGACACACCGUGCUUGGAGAAAAAACCAUAUCAGACAACAAGAUUUGAGGAAAAGUUGCUGCAUCUCAAAUCUAAACUAAGGCUGCUGCCCCCACAGGUCCAACAUUCAGCGAAUGUCUACAUCAACAUGACCAGCGUCAACUCUCCAGCCAGCCUGCUCGCCCGCAACCACUUCUACAGAAGUUUGCUCUCAAGUCCAGAAGGGAUUAAAUCCACAUUCAGCUGUCAGAACGACUCAGCCAUGCACCACCAAAAACAGGUCAACCUUUGGAUCAGCAUGGGAGCUGCUCCUGGUAAAAAAAACCCAGACACAUUUAGAGCACACUGCUUUAAUGAGAUACAUACAGUACAUGGAUACAUACAUACGGUACAUA